rnacentral:misc_RNA from 1 species
UUCGAGCGUCAUUACAACCCUCAAGCCUAGCUUGGUGUUGGGCUCGCCCCCAGUGGGCCUGCCUCAAAAUCAGUGGCGGCUCCGUCCGGUCUCAAGCGCAGUAAUACUCGUCGCUUGUUGGUCCUGGGCGGCGGCCUGCUAACAACCCCCAAUUCUAUAUUGUUGACCUCGGAUCAGGUAGGGAUACCCGCUGAACUUAA